AAUAGAAUUAAGCCUUCUUAAACAAUUUCUCCAUCACAAUCAUUUUCGAAUUUUAAUACGAAUUGAAAAGUGGUUUAAAUGUAUCAAAUGUGUAGCUUAAGUCAUGUUAAUGACAUUAGAUGUAUCAUUAUUGAUGAUCCAUGACCAUACAUAUUGAUUAAAUUAAAAGAAGUGCUAUUUAUUUGAUGAAUAGAUAUGUAGAUUGAGAAAAUUAUGUAUGUGCUUAACAGAAAGCCCACACACGUUUGUAUAAGCUCCCCAUUAUACAGUCCCUUCAUAUCUUGUUUAGAGCACAUCUUAUUUUCCAAACUUCCUGCUAUGAACUUCACAUAAUUGUUAAGUGAUGCCAUCUUAUGAUAUUGAAGUCCACCAAUCUAAUGUUAAGAUACACCCUUUGAGGUUGAGAAGAGCUUUCCUCAAAGAGACAACUUAAUCACUUUAUACAAAUAAGUGCAACCAAAACUAAUAAGCAACAAUCAUAAAAAUUAAAAAGAAGUUGAAAUCAGAAAGCACAAAAUGGGGAGAUUAGUGUUGCUCGCCAAUGCUGACUGAGAGAAGCAAAAUGUGAUCGUAAAGAGUGAUUUGUAAAACCUAGACAGAGGAAAUCAAUAUGAACAUUUGACAAUACGAAAUUUGAUUAAACAAAUAAAUUAGAAAUAGUUUUAGUGGUUGCAAUGUGGCUUAGCGUUACAGUCAAAUAUGAAGGUUAAAUAUAUUUAUAAACCAAUAAAUUAAUCUAGUUAUCCGAGUCAAAUUUUAAAGGUAAUAUAUGUAAUAGUUAAAGAUAAAUCAGAAAGCUAAAAUUCUUUAUAAUUGUAGCGAAAACAUAUCUUAACAUAAUUCCUAAUAUAUUUAUUUUGGUUCUCGUCAAAGAAGGAAGGAACCUAAGGAACCAAAUUUGCAUUUUAGGAUAAUUAUUUACUAUAAUUUAUUUGAAAACUUAAUUGGACAAUUUACUUUUGUACAACUAUAAAGUGGAGGUAAUAAUGUGGAAACAAAAAUAUACUGAGAGUCGAGGAAACACAAACUGAUCCAAAGAGAAAUUCAACAUUGACGAAGUUGCUCAUCUCUUCUCUACUGAAUAAACUGCACCAAGGCAAAUAAAAUGUGUAUAAAUUACCCGACCGAAUAAACAUUUAAAAAAAAAGAAUUUGCAAAGCAAUUCAAAAGUGAUGUGUUUUUCCUUGUGGGUUUAUUUAAGAAUCAUGUAGACAGGAAAAUUCCAAAGAGAGAGAGAUAAAUAGUACAUCCGAGAGCAUGGGGAGGUUCCCCAUUAGAUUUUAAUUUUUUAGCUUUAUAUUUAUAUAUAAAUUAUUGACAAAUUUUAAUUAAGUUUCAUGCACAUGCAAAGAUAAUGUGAACAUUACUUACUUCCCGUAUAUACAAAAAAUUCAUAUUCAAUAACUAAAACUCAAGGGAGGAAGAUCAUAUGUUUCCCAUAAGCAUCCAUGAUAAUUUUGUGAAAGCUCUACCUGCAUAAUCUCAAAUGACCGCAAUUGUCAUUACGAAAUAAAAUGCUAGAACAGAAGGAUAACUCGAGAAGACAAAUACACUAACCUUGUGGCAAUUAAACAAUUUUUGUUGUGUUAUAUUGGUGGUACUCAAUUAAAAAGGAGAACCAUACAUCUAAGCACAUUACCGGCCUCAUUCCCCAAUAGAGGAUGUAAAUGUCUGGUGUCCUUCUAGUUUAAAAUUAUACACAAUAUACAAAGCACGUAUAUUUUUAUUAUUCCAUUAAAAAGAGUAUUGUAACUUUUAAUUUAUAUAGAACCGCUAUAUAAGACUAAAGAAAAAAUGCAACCUUUGUAUGUUUUCCAUAAAAUAAUAGACAUAAUCUAGAAAUUGAAGGUUAUUACCACCUAAAUAAUCCUCCUACAAUUCAAAAAUAGAGUGAAAGGAAAUUCAGCCAGGGAAAAGGAAGAACUAAUAUUUGCUAAAUUACCUAACAAAAUAUUAAACAUGUUUGUGACUGAAACAAAAUCUUAAGCCAAAGCAAUGACUACCUGAAUGGAAGCAUCUUAAAGAGCUUCAACAUCACGUGUCAGGGACCUAGUCAGGCGAGAGGAUAAUCCAACCUGUCAAUAAAAUGAUAGAUUCAACAUAACACAUUCAGACUUUAC
rnacentral:lncRNA from 1 species